rnacentral:rRNA from 1 species
UGUUGCUGGCUCUCCCUCUGGAGUGUGUGUGCACGCUUGUCUCAUCUUUAUUAUUUCUCCAACUGUGCACAUUUUGUAGAUCCUGGAAAGGCCUUUUAUGAAUGUUCUCAUUCGAGUAGGGACUGCUGUCGCUUUUCUUUGAAAGGCCGGCUUUGCCUUUUUGCCUUCCAGGUCUAUGUCAUUUUCCACAACCUCUCAAACGAGUUUAGAAUGUCUUAUUAUGUGAAAUAUACAACUUUCAGCAACGGAUCUCUUGGCUCUCGCAUCGAUGAAGAACGCAGCGAAAUGCGAUAAGUAAUGUGAAUUGCAGAAUUCAGUGAAUCAUCGAAUCUUUGAACGCAUCUUGCGCUCCUUGGUAUUCCGAGGAGCAUGCCUGUUUGAGUGUCAUUUGACUUAUCAACCGCUUCAUGGUGAACAUGGACGUGGCUUUGGAUGUGGGGGUCUUUGCAGGCUUUUUGAAUUCUCAAAGGUCGGCUCCCCUGAAACGCAUUAGUGGCAUCUGAGCUGCUACUAUAGGUGUGAUAAAUUAUCUAUGCCUUUGGUAUGCUGCAUGAACAGAUUGCGCUGCUUACAACGACGAAAAUAACUUGACAAACUUGACCUCAAAUCAGGUAGGACUACCCGCUGAACUUAAGCAUAUCAAUAAGCGGAGGAAAAGAAACUAACAAGGAUUCCCCUAGUAACUGCGAGUGAAGCGGGAAGAGCUCAAAUUUGAAAUCUGGCGGUCCCUUGGGCUGUCCGAGUUGUAAUCUAGAGAAGUGUUACCUGUGCUGGACCGUGUACAAGUCUCCUGGAAUGGAGCAUCACAGAGGGUGAGAAUCCCGUCUUUGACACGGACUGCCUGUGCGAUAUGGUGCGCUCUCGAAGAGUCGAGUUGUUUGGGGAUGCAGCUCAAAAUGGGUGGGGUAAUGCAUCUAAAGC